CGACAGACUGAAACCCGCCAGAAAACUAAAAGAAGAAGAAAGAUAGCUUGUUGGUUGUUGACACCUGAGGCCUCUGCACAUGCGCAUUGGCGCAGGAAACACCUUUGUGGCUAAACCUUAAGGAAAGACUAUUAUUACGGAAUAAGUGUACAUUUCGAAGUCUUAUAAACUGUCAUAAAUAUCAAAUCACGAGGUGAAAGAAAUAUCAGAGCUGCUGUUCAACACAACAGAUUCAGAGGAAGAAAAAGACAUACAAAUACUGAGAGCGAUUUCUGUCUUCCGGUUUGAAAAGCAAAGUCGGAGCAACGUCACAAAAUCUGACGUCAUCAUGUACUUCCGGCAAGAU